rnacentral:rRNA from 1 species
AAUAGAUACCCUGGUAGUCCACGCCGUAAACGAUGAGUGCUAGGUGUUGGGGGUUUCAAUACCCUCAGUGCCGCAGCUAACGCAAUAAGCACUCCGCCUGGGGAGUACGCUCGCAAGAGUGAAACUCAAAGGAAUUGACGGAGGCCCGCACAAGCGGUGGAGCAUGUGGUUUAAUUCGAAGCAACGCGAAGAACCUUACCAGGUCUUGACAUCCCGCUGACCGCCCUAGAGAUAGGGCUUCCCUUCGGGGCAGCGGUGACAGGUGGUGCAUGGUUGUCGUCAGCUCGUGUCGUGAGAUGUUGGGUUAAGUCCCGCAACGAGCGCAACCCUUAUUUCUAGUUGCCAGCAUUCAGUUGGGCACUCUAGAGAGACUGCCGUCGACAAGACGGAGGAAGGCGGGGAUGACGUCAAAUCAUCAUGCCCCUUAUGACCUGGGCUACACACGUGCUACAAUGGUUGGUACAACGGGAUGCUACCUCGCGAGAGGACGCCAAUCUCUGAAAACCAAUCUCAGUUCGGU